rnacentral:lncRNA from 1 species
UGCUUGGUCUGUGAAAAACUUGGAGAACAAAGAGAAGCAACGUGAACAAAUGUGGUUAUAUCCCAUCAUAUAAACUUAUUUUUCCGAUUCGUUGGAUAACCUUUUUAUCCGCCUUCCAGUAUUAACAAAGGUAUAACAGUGCAUCUAUAUGUGUCCUGAAAUUUUACAAAGAACAAUACAAUUAUUGUUUAUAUAAUAAAAAAACUCAAGUCUGAU